AGCUGCUCCUGCCACUCAUCAUCUCCCAUCACAAGCAAUAGGCUUGACCAAUCAUGGCUCCUUUUGGUUGGUUCAGGAAUGAGCACAUGGUCUGAGAAGAGCCAAUCAGAGCCCUUUUAUAAGGUUAAUAAUAGGUAGGCAUUAAAAAAGGGAGGUAUGCAAUACCUAAGCAAAAAUAUUCAUGUGUAUCCUGGGCACCAAUGUAUCUGGAGAUAUCAAUCAAGUGCUUGGAUAGGAAUAAAGCAUACUGAGGACAUCACUCCUGUUCCCUGUUUUUUUUAGAUCUGCAUCCAAGUGACUGACAGAGAACUCACCACCCACAGAAACAACCUUUUCUAUUCUCGGGCUACUCUUGAGUGUUGCAAGUCCCUGCUUAUGAUGAGCUGCAACUUACUUGACUAUAACUUCCACCAACUCGCUGGUCCUAGCUCUGAUCUCUAGAGCUACAGAACAAGGGUUCAAUCAGCCUGGUCCUCUCCUCAGAUCACAAGCCCAUCUCAAUCCAGACUAGCCUGGCUUCAAGUGCUCAAAACAACAUGUGGGCAGUGGCUACCUGAGGAAACGGUGCAGCCCUAAACAAUACCACCUCCAAAACCCCUUGGGACAGCAGGCCUUCAUUCUCAAACUUCACUACAAAAGAGAAUUUCUCAUUGUGUUCCAUCACCACUUUUACCUUCCCGUGGCUUCCUUCACGCUGUUUCCAGAACAUCUAAACCCAACCCCACAUUUGCGGCUAUUUGUGCCUGUCCACCUUAUCUUCUUUUAGAUUUCACAUCCUUGCUAGGCCAUGGGGGAGAAGAACUGGCAGGAAAAAGACUCUGUGCUGAGACGAGCUAAAGUCGGGUGAAGACGAAAGCUGAACAAGAGGAACCUGUGUGGGACAGCGACCCAAGCAGACGGUAUGCAAAGUGGCAGGCUGACUGGCGGCUGAGCUCUGGCUUCAGAAGCACAUCCUGUUCAGUUUUGUAGAGAUGCACUGAAUCCCUCACACUCAGCCCUGGCAGAAGUCGGCUGACCCCAUUUCCAUGUCUUUGCCAAAACAAGCAGACCGUGGAACUGCAGAAAGAUGGGCGUCUAGAGAGCUGUUAGAAGACAAGACAACUGCUAUUUUGUGACUUCAGAGUGACUUCAGAGCUGCCCAUUAAAUAAUCUGAUAAAUACUAUACAUAAAUAUUCUGUAACCAUGGCUGGUAGGCUGGGAGCCC